UAAAGUUAUAGGUGGUUGUGAGCUGC
rnacentral:piRNA from 1 species